rnacentral:misc_RNA from 1 species
CAACCCCUCAAGCCUAGCUUGGUCUUGGGGCCUGCCCGCCGGGCGGCCCUUAAACACAGUGGCGGUGCCGUCGUGCUCUACGCGUAGUAACUCUUCUCGCGACAGGGCGCUGACGGGACCUGCCGAAGCUCCAUCUCUC